ACUGCUCUGGGAAUUUUCUUCUAUAUCACUCUGGCAGCCUUCAUCAUUCAUAGAGCUUUGUUUGGUCACCUUUGGUGAGAGCAUCUUCACCAGGUCGGUCAGC